rnacentral:sRNA from 1 species
AAUCUAUCAACACUCCACAAUACUGUGCACAAACCAUGUUGGCCUCGCCUCACGAGCAGUGAGGUGUUGGUCUUUUGCCAACCAACCAACCCCUAACCGAAAACUCCCAUAAUUAGAGGGCGUAGCUUAGAGCUGCACCCUCACGAACCAAGACAACUCUCAACAACGGAUAUCUUGGCUCUCAGAUCGAUGAAGAACGCAGCGAAAUGCGAUACGUAGUGUGAAUUGCAGAAAUACGUGAAUCAUCGAAUCUUUGAACGCAUAUUGCGCUCGAGGCCUCGGCCAAGAGCAUGUCUGCCUCAGCGUCGGGUUAAAACUCAUCCAGACCACCCACAUGUGGUGGUUGUGCGAUGGAACUGGCUGUCCCGCAAUUUUGCUUGUACAUCAGGCAAAUAAAAGCGGGUCAGCUGAAGUACAGCUGUUGCUGAUGGACCCUACAAUGGGCCUCUACUGGGUAGGCAACUCGCUUGCUACAAUGCUUUAGUAGGUGGCUCUGGGACUGUGAGCAGCACGAAUCAGGAAAACUCGUCACGAGUUAAACCCCCUUUUUCUCGACCUGAGCUCAGGCAAGA